UUUAAGUGCAAUUGUGGGUUCUGCGUAUAGCGUUUGACCGUCCGUCUUAUUUAAUUUUUUUUAUAAUUAAUAUUUUUAUUGUUAUUAGAUCAUAAAACAUGAAUAGCACUUUAUGCAUGGCUUAUUUUUUAAAACUUUUUUUCAAAUAAGACAUAUGGUCAAACAUUGAACACAAAAACCCACAAGUGCACUUAAA
rfam:Oryza nivara chromosome 7, whole genome shotgun sequence.